AUAAUACCCUAUAGGCUACCAAUGCUGGAAUGCCUGGUAGCCGAAAGUUCCGGCGCCUUAGGAUGGAUCUGCGGCCGAUUAGGUUGUUGUCGGGGUAACGGCCCAACAAGCCAGUAAUCGGUACGGGUUGUGGGAGCAAGAGCCCGGAGUUGGAUUCUGAGACACGAAUCCAGGCCCUACGGGGCGCAGCAGGCGCGAAAACUUUACAAUGCGGGCAACCGUGAUAAGGGAACCUCGAGUGCCUGUAUAUGCAGGCUGUCUGAGUGUCUAAAACACACUCAAAGAAAGGGCCGGGCAAGACCGGUGCCAGCCGCCGCGGUAAUACCGGCGGCUCGAGUGGUGGCCACUUUUAUUGGGCUUAAAGCGUUCGUAGCUGGGUUAUUAAGUCCCUUGGGAAAUCCGGCGGCUUAACCGUCGGGCGUCUAAGGGAUACUGGUAAUCUUGGAACCGGGAGAGGUGAGGGGUACUUCGGGGGUAGGAGUGAAAUCCUGUAAUCCUCGAGGGACCACCUGUGGCGAAGGCGCCUCACCAGAACGGCUUCGACAGUGAGGGACGAAAGCUGGGGGAGCAAACCGGAUUAGAUACCCGGGUAGUCCCAGCCGUAAACGAUGUGCGUUAGGUGU
rnacentral:rRNA from 1 species